rnacentral:rRNA from 1 species
AUUGAACGCUGGCGGCAGGCCUAACACAUGCAAGUCGAGCGGAUGAAGGGAGCUUGCUCCUGGAUUCAGCGGCGGACGGGUGAGUAAUGCCUAGGAAUCUGCCUGGUAGUGGGGGAUAACGUCCGGAAACGGGCGCUAAUACCGCAUACGUCCUGAGGGAGAAAGUGGGGGAUCUUCGGACCUCACGCUAUCAGAUGAGCCUAGGUCGGAUUAGCUAGUUGGGGGGGUAAAGGCCUACCAAGGCGCCGACCCGUCACGGGUCUGAGAGGAUGAUCAGUCACACUGGGACUGAGGCACGGUCCAGACUCCUACGGGAGGCAGCAGUGGGGAAUAUUGGACAAUGGGCGAAAGCCUGAUCCAGCCAUGCCGCGUGUGUGAAGAAGGUCUUCGGAUUGUAAAGCACUUUAAGUUGGGAGGAAGGGCAGUAAGUUAAUACCUUGCUGUUUUGACGUUACCAACAGAAUAAGCACCGGCUAACUUCGUG